rnacentral:lncRNA from 1 species
AUGGUUGGUUGUUUUGUGUUUUUCCCACCCGGCCACAUCACAGCCUGCUGGUCCCCCCGCCUCACUCUGUCAAAACCCCAACUCCCGGCGACCCUGGGUUUGGAAACUCCGCGGACUCCCGACGACACGUCCCACUCUCCCUCUCACGCCUCGUAUUUUAGUUGCAAGAUCCCUCGCUCCAGUUGCAGCGAAAGCCGGAAAUUUUCAUUUAACUGCCCCCCCCCCCCCCGCCCUCCCGCCCCCCACUCGGAGCCGAGCGUUGGGGAGUGGAGACCCGGAGCACAGCCGGGCUCGCCGCCUCCCCUCUCUCCGGAAGGCUUUAAUUUGCACACUUGCUUGCCUCGGCGCAGCGAGCCCCUAGCCCCGUCGCCGCCUCCGGGUGGGUCUCGGGCAGAGUCGGCCUGGGGGGGGGGGGCGCCCCCGCCCCGGCUCGCCCCGAGCCCCGGCCCGCGCCCCGCAGCCCCCGGCCGCCCCCAGCGUGCGGCGCGGGCGGCGCCCUCCGCCGUGCCUCCGCCGUCCCUCCGCCCUCCGCCGCUGUGCCCACCCCUUCGCGGGAGAGAGCGCCGCUACCUCCUUCCUCCGAGCCGGUUACCUGCUCGGCGCGCGGUGGACACGUGCGGAGGUCGCACAGACACUCGCAGCCCUCCCCGGAGGCCCGACGCGGCCGGGCCCCUCAGACGGCUCCAGCUCUGCAGGGAAAGAAAAGUAACUUCGCUUUUCUCGGAGGAACCAGGAAGGAUUAAGCAGCCUGGGAGAGGGCAGGAGCGCGCCGAGGGUGGAAGGCUUGUGGACUGA